UACGUAGGGUGCGAGCGUUGUCCGGAAUUAUUGGGCGUAAAGAGCUCGUAGGCGGUCUGUCGCGUCGGAUGUGAAAACUCGGGGCUUAACUCCGGGCCUGCAGUGGGUACGGGCAGACUAGAGUGCGGUAGGGGAGACUGGAAUUCCUGGUGUAGCGGUGAAAUGCGCAGAUAUCAGGAGGAACACCGGUGGCGAAGGCGGGUCUCUGGGCCGUAACUGACGCUGAGGAGCGAAAGCGUGGGGAGCGAACAGG
rnacentral:rRNA from 1 species